CCUACGGGUGGCAGCAGUGGGGAAUAUUGGGCAAUGGAGGCAACUCUUACCCAGCAAUGCCGCGUGAGUGAAGAAGGUCUUCGGAUUGUAAAGUUCUUUAAUUGGGGACGAAAAAAAUGACGGUCCCCCCGGAAUAAGCCUCGGCUAACUACGUGCCAGCAGCCGCGGUAAUACGGAGGGGGCAAGCGUUGUUCGGAAUGACUCGGCGUAAAGGGUGUGUAGGCGGGGGAGCAAGUUAGAAGUGAAAUACCUAGAGCUUAACUCAGGGGCUGCUUCUAAAACUGCUAGACUUGAGUGGGGGAGAGGAAAGUGGAAUUCCCAGUGUAGCGGUGGAAUGCGUAGAUAUCGGGAGGAACAUCAGUGGCGAAGGCGACUUGCUGGACUGUAACUGACGCUGAGGCACGAAAGUGUGGGGAGCAAACAGGAUUAGAUACCCGGGUAGUC
rnacentral:rRNA from 1 species